GAAUCUUGGUCAAUGGGGGAAACCCUGAACCAGCAACGCCGCGUGAGGGAUGAAGGCCCUCGGGUCGUAAACCUCUGUCGGAAGGGAAGAAAGUACUUCGGGCCAAUCCCCCGGAGUAUCGACGGUACCUUCAAAGGAAGCGCCGGCUCACUCCGUGCCAGCCGCCGCGGUAAUACGGAGGGCGCGAGCGUUAUUCGGAAUCAUUGGGCGUAAAGCGCGUGUAGGCGGCUGGGUAAGUCGGAUGUGAAAGCCCGGGGCUCAACCCCGGAAUUGCAUUCGAAACUGCCUAGCUAGAGUCUCGGAGAGGAGGGCGGAAUUCCCGGUGUAGAGGUGAAAUUCGUAGAUAUCGGGAGGAACACCAGUGGCGAAGGCGGCCCUCUGGACGAUGACUGACGCUGAGACGCGAAAGCGUGGGGAGCAAACAGG
rnacentral:rRNA from 1 species